GAGUUUGAUCGUGGCUCAGAACGAACGCUGGCGGCAGGCUUAACACAUGCAAGUCGAACGCGUGUAGCAAUACACGAGUGGCGCACGGGUGAGUAACACGUGGAUAUCUGCCUUUUGGUUCGGAAUAACCCUGGGAAACUAGGGCUAAUACCGAAUGGUUCCUACGGGAUAAAGAUUUAUCGCCAAAAGAUGAGUCCGCGUCCGAUUAGCUAGUUGGUGAGGUAACGGCUCACCAAGGCGACGAUCGGUAGCUGGUCUGAGAGGACGAUCAGCCACACUGGGACUGAGACACGGCCCAGACUCCUACGGGAGGCAGCAGUGGGGAAUAUUGGACAAUGGGGGCAACCCUGAUCCAGCCAUGCCGCGUGAGUGAUGAAGGCCUUC
rnacentral:rRNA from 1 species